GGAGGGUGGCUGCAAGAGGUGCGUAACCGGUCUCGAAAACCGGGCUGGGGUUAGGAGCCCUACGGGUUCGAUCCCUGCACCCUCCGCCA
rnacentral:tRNA from 1 species